GAAGCUGCUUAUUGAAGAAGCACCUUCUCCAGUAAGUUAUUUUUUAGGGAUAGGUCAUCCAAGCAGUUUGUUGACAUCUGCCCCUUUUCAAUUAGAUGUGUUUACAGCUGUAAAUUGGCUCAUGUGGCAGCUUCCUGUCCAUACUUUCUACUACCGCCAUUUCAUCUUUGUCCCUGCAACAAAAACAGUAUAUAAAUCAGUGUUUGAAAAAGAUGAAUUGCAGAUUCAGUUGCAAGAUACAAGCAUUCAAACGAUGGAAAUUUGUUCAAUCUACAUGUAAAUUAUUAGUCAAAUAAUUUAUUUAUUUACUUUUUAUAGUCUAGAAGUGCUCUUUUUUAGUCCAUUGUACCAUUAACUCUUUAGUUGGCUCACAUAACUUCACAUUGUAUAUUUUAUAUGUACAGGGACUAACGUUAAAGUUGCACUAAAAUCCAGUUAAAAUUAAAAUAUGUGUAUAGUUUAAUUUUUAUUUCUCAUAUAUAUCUAGAUUUUACAUCUGUCUAUAAAAAAGAAGUUCAGUUUUUAUUUCUAA